AGCUUUACCGGCAGCAGAGACAGCAUGGUUGUCUCUGUUUGAUAGAGCCCAGGUGCCGGGCCACAGAAAGGUGGCAGGAGGUAGCAAGAGACUGUGGGAGGGGCAGGUAAGACCUUCUCUUCCCAAUAUAAAGUUCCUGCCCAGCAUGCUGCCUGCGAAGCUGCCUCAGCCUGAAAGACAGACCCAGCAAGGCGAGGAUGGAUUUCCCCACUCCCUUUACUGUCAGUUUAAAGAUAAGAGCAACUAUUGUAUCUGGGUUCCUGUCCGAUAUAUUCAACUAUGGCCCUUCUAUCUGACUUAAAAUUCAAGACUCAGCAGUAAAGCAUUCGAAGACACAGGUGAGGCAGGGACUGUCCUGAAUCAGUGCCUGGAUGCAGUAAUGGACUGGAUGAGGGUGAACAAGCUGAGACUCAAUCCAGACAAGACAGAUGUACUGCUGGUUGGUGGUUCCUCUGCCCGGGUGAAUUAUAUUCAGCAUGUUCUAGAUGGGGUUGUACUCCCCCUGAAGGACCAAGUUCACAGUUUGGGGGUGCUCAUCAAUCUGCACUGUCAUUAGAGGCUCAAGUAGCCUCUGUGGCUUGGAGCACAUUUUAUCAGCUUUGGCUGAUAUGCCAACUGCAACCCUACCUGGACAGAGAUAGCCUGGACACAGUUACUCAUGCUCUGGUAACAUCUCACUUAGAUUACUGCAAUGCAUUGUACAUGGGGCUGCCUUUUAAAAUGGUCCAGAAACUGCAGCGGGUACAAAAUAGGGCUGCAAGAUUAUUAACUGGGACUGGGUGCUUUGAUCACAUUAUGCCAGUGCUUCAUCAGCUGCACUGGCUCCUAGUCUGUUUCCAGGCCCAAUUCAAAGUGCUGGUUUUAACCUUUAAAGCCCUAAAUGGCUUGGGACCAGGUUACCUGAGAGAGUGCCUUGUCCCAUAUGUUCUGACCUGGACCUUAAGAUCUUCUUCGGAGGCCCUGCUCAGAGUGCUCCUGCCAAACCAGAUGAGGUGGAUGGCUACUAGGGAGAGGGCCUUUUCGGUAGUUGCACCUCAUUUAUAGAACAGCCUCCCUAGUGAGGUUCGCCUAGCUUCAUCACUUUGUUCUUUUAGACACCCGUUAAAGACCUUUUUGUUCACUCAGGCCUUUCAAAUUUUGAUUUUUAAAUUUGAUUUUUAAAACUGAUUUCUAAAAAGUUUUUAAAUUGCUUUGUAUUGUAUUUUGUUUCCCCCCCUUUUCGUCUGUUAUGAUUUAAUAUGUUAUGUUUUUAAUUGAUGUUUUAAUGCUGUAUUGAGAACAAUUUGUUAUUGGGAGGCUAUCAAAAUUUAUUGUCAUCAUAGUCGUCAUCAUUAUAUGUUAGGGACUGAGCAGGUUAAUACGGGAAUAGCCAUCUUUAUGGUAGCUUUGUCCCAGAUCAUAAAGGGCUUUAAAGUUCUAAAUCAGUACUUCGAAUUAGUUCAGAGAGUGAUUUCACAUCAUAAUAUGCUAUUGCUAUGGCAGUCACUUGAUUCAAUAAACCAUAAUUAAUGUUUGAGCUUUUUUAAAAAAAUGUAUAGUUAGACUAAUGUGUAUAAAUACAAAUAUAUACAGUACAAUACAUAGUGAAAAAUCCAUUUUUCAAUGUAUUUGAAAAUGUAUUUGAAAAAUGUAAAAUAAAUUUUAA